UACGUAGGCAGCGAGCGUUGUUCGGAAUUACUGGGCGUAAAGGGCGCGUAGGCGGCCUGCUAAGUCGAACGUGAAAUCCCUGGGCUCAACCCAGGAACUGCGUCCGAUACUGGUUGGCUUGAAUCCGGGAGAGGGAUGUGGAAUUCCAGGUGUAGCGGUGAAAUGCGUAGAUAUCUGGAGGAACACCGGUGGCGAAGGCGACAUCCUGGACCGGUAUUGACGCUGAGGCGCGAAAGCCAGGGGAGCAAACGGG
rnacentral:rRNA from 1 species